GAGGAUAUGGCUUAGUGGUAGAGCGUGUGUCCAGCAUGCAUGAGGUCCUGGGUUCGAUCCCCAGUACCUCCA
rfam:Camelus ferus unplaced genomic scaffold scaffold804, whole genome shotgun sequence.